AUGAGUUCUUCGUCAUCUUCAUCUGGCGACGAUGAACUCAUACUUGCAGCAUUCGCCGAGCGGGAGGAGGAAGAGAGGAAGAACGGUCGACGCCAUGGCGGUUCCAAGCAUGGACGUCAGUCAAUCGAUCGAGGAAGAGAUGCCGGAUUUCUUCUUCUGUGGGACGACUACUUCAAAGAAGUUCCUCGCUUUCCCGAACAUUUGUUUCGACGAAGGUUCGUAAUUAGUACACUUCUCUGCUUUGGUCCUUUUUUUCAUUUUCCCUGUCUCAUUUAA
rnacentral:rRNA from 1 species